rnacentral:rRNA from 1 species
GACGAACGCUGGCGGCGCGCCUAACACAUGCAAGUCGAACGAGAGAGGAAGAGCAUGCUUUUCCGAUCGAGUGGCGAACGGCUGAGUAACGCGUGAGGAACCUGCCUCAAAGAGGGGGACAACAGUUGGAAACGACUGCUAAUACCGCAUAAGCCCACGGCUCGGCAUCGAGCAGAGGGAAAAGGAGCAAGCCGCUUUGAGAUGGCCUCGCGUCCGAUUAGCUAGUUGGUGAGGUAACGGCCCACCAAGGCGACGGUCGGUAGCCGGACUGAGAGGUUGAACCGCCACAUUGGGACUGCGACACGGCCCAGACUCCUACGGGAGGCAGCAGUGGGGAAUAUUGCACAAUGGGGGAAACCCUGAUGCAGCGACGCCGCGUGGAGGAAGAAGGUCUUCGGAUUGUAAACUCCUGUUGUCGAGGAAGAUAAUGACGGUACUCAACAAGGAAGUGACGGCUAACUACGUGCCAGCAGCCGCGGUAA